rnacentral:lncRNA from 1 species
UGAUAAAUGGGAAAUGCUUAUAUCUCAGUGUUAAUUAUACUUUCUAUAGGCUGCAUAUUGGUUGCUUUUUUAUUAAUUAUUUUGUUAUUCAGGAUUUAUGUAAUUGAGGUUUAUCAUGUUGCUGGGAGGGGGCAUAAGUGGGAAGAUAAAUUGAUCAUGUUUGAGCAUUUAUUAGAAUCAACACUGGAAGAGCAUUUAAGAAACAGUCUUUUAAGAGUCGGGUCAACAUACACUGAGUAGAGGCCUUUGAUGAUGAAUACCAUGAAGCUUACUGCCAUUUUAUAAUCUACAAGAUAACCUGCAUUUAUAAGUAAUAUCCAUGAAGCUUACUGCCACUUUAUAAUCUACCUGAGAAUAUCUUAAUGAAAAGCAGAUAUGUAGAAGCUUGGAAAAUAUCUUCUUUUUUAUCAUUGCUUAAAAUGUUAUCAGUUUGUAAUCAGGCGGGC